rnacentral:rRNA from 1 species
AUACAUAGGGGGCAAGCGUUAUCCGGAAUUAUUGGGCGUAAAGGGUGCGUAGGCGGUCUAUUAAGUCUGAGGUGUAAGUGCAGGGCUCAACCCUGUGAUGCUUUAGAAACUGGUAGACUUGAGUGAGAUAGAGGCAAGUGGAAUUCCAUGUGUAGCGGUAAAAUGCGUAAAUAUAUGGAGGAACACCAGUGGCGAAGGCGGCUUGCUGGGUCUAUACUGACGCUGAGGCACGAAAGCGUGGGGAGCAAACAGGAUUAGAUACCCUGGUAGUCCACGCCGUAAACGAUGAGUACUAAGUGUUGCGAGAACGCAGUGCUGAAGUUAACAUAUUAAGUACUCCGCCUGAGUAGUACGUACGCAAGUAUGAAACUCAAAUGAAUUGACGGGG